UCUACGUGUUGCUUUUAUUCCGAAGUACACUCCAAAAUUCUAGAAUGAUCGAUGACUUCUUUCAUUUCUCUUAUUGCAGUCCUCAAUCAAAAAUCAUCCAUAUCUCCGAUGAUACCUCCGUGAAUCACCCCAUCUCCAUCUGAUGAGUGUUAGUUUAUUUUCUAUUAUUUUGAAUAAUUUCUCGGUAGAAUUUUACAUGCAUGUAUUGAUUGUACCUGAUUUGCAAUUGUCUUUUGCUACCAACUAAUCACGAGUUAAAGGUUUUACCAACAAAUUGUUGCUGGAAGAUUGGGUCCUAUUUUCUCACUUUCUCUUCCCCUCUUUUUCUUUAAAUUUUUAUAAUGUGAUCAUUUUAUAGUUAAGGUCAUUGAAAUGGACUAUGCAUCCAAGAUGUUUGAUAAUAUGCCUAACUCAUCUUAUUUGGAGUAAUGGAGUCUACAAUUUUUUUUUACAGGUUUGCCGUUAGCAGAUUUGUGCUUUUUUAUGCUCCGCAAGCCAGAAUUAAUAGCUUUGAGAAAUUUCUUAAAUUAGCCUUAUGGAAUUGAUCAUUUGAAAAACCUGUAAUUGUAUUGCUUCAAGGAUAUUAGUUGUUCCUUCUGUGAGUUAUCUCUACAAGGAUUUAACUUUAUUAGCUGAUUCUAAACAUAUUUGAGCUUACGGCCUGGUGUAAUUGUGAUUCUAAUCUAUUAUCAAGGUAUUGUAGACUUUGCAUAUCAAUCCAAGUAGCAGUCAUUGUGACGAAGGUUGCUCUGCACUAGAAAUAUGUUAGCAAACAACGAUAAUUGAAAUUAUCUUCCUAAAACUUGAAUUUGUAGACAUUAGGUUGUUUGAGUUAUUUCUGAAAGAUAUUUUUUAGUUUAGCAAUUCUUAUCCCAUAGCUAUUUCAGGCUUUCGAAUUUGGGCAUUGUGUGGAAAUUUGUUUCCGCUCCAUAGAAAUUCAUUCCUCUUUCCUUUUCGUUUCCAAUUUUGAAAAUUUUGAACACUUGAAAGUCUUUAACAGUUAGUGCGUGUUUUUAGUGUACAUAAAAAUGGUGACAUCGGGGGGUCAAAUGGAGAAGAUGAAGCUACGUCUGUAUCAUAUGAACACUGAUCUCAUACUAGUCACACAGUCUGAUACUCUUUGUAAAGUGUCUCUCACUUGAAUUUUCCUUAUUUUAUUGAUAUUUUUGAGUUUAUUUUUUUGCCCUCUAGCAUCCUACUUACACACUGAUACCUGUUAUGUUUGGAUUUGCAGUUUGAUGUUUCCCGCUUUGGUGGGAAGGGAGGCCAUCCAUUUGAAGUGAUGCACUCGGCCCUUACUGGAGUAGUGCAGUUUUCCUUCCUACCUCCCGCAACAAGACUUAAUAAGCUAGAAAAUACUGUGGUCCUUAAGAAUAAGCUGCAACUGAAGUGUAUGUAUCUGGACAAUGAGGAUUCACAACUAUUGUGGCGGGUGUAGCGGUAAUGAUACUACCGGCUAGCAGAUGUUGCUUUCUUGGAUCAUUUUCUAGACCUCUCAUCCCAUUCAAAACACUAUAUGUAUAUACUUCGGCUGAUAAUUUUCUAAACGUUCCUCUGCCCAUUUUCAAAGAGUACACCAUCUCUGGUCCAUUAAUCUUACAAGGGGACUGCAGACAAAUUCAUGAAAUGCAAAAUUUGUAGAUGAACUAUGAUUAUGACUUUGAAAUUAAAGUGUACUGACUUUGAAAUUAAAGUGUACUCCUUUGCUUAUUUAUGUUACCAAGAGAAACCCUUUCAUCCA